ensembl:lincRNA
ACCGGGACUUGGGGAGCGAGGGAUGCAACAUGGUGCUUCUGGGAGGCCUGCUAACUGGCUAACUUCUCCGGCGUUCCUCCCGGCCGAGGCGUGGGCACAGAAUAGCGCAGGUGAGGCCCAGAUAUGGUGUCUCGAUACGGCGCGGAAGGUAAGCGACCCCCGGGCCGGCGGGUCGGGGAAUGGUGCUGACCUUGGAGGCCUCGGUCCGCCACGCCGCCCUUGAGCCUAAGGUCGCCGAACGACCGCCGCCCCCCACCCCUCCACUUCCGCCUCAGCAUGGCCACCCUGACUCGACUACCUGCACUGCAUGGUUCACCGACCUGUGAGCCCACGGAUCUGGCUGUGAGCCCAGCCUUCGGCAUCACAACUCAUUCCUUCCUCCAGCGCCGGUGCAUCUCGGGCCAUUCAUUCCCUGCGCCUUCCAGCAUCUGCUCCUCCAGCUUUUGCAGAUCAUGGCAGGGGCGCCUGCCCAGCCCCCCCCCCCCACCACCACCACCACCACCGGGAUGCGGUUCUCCAGCUUCCUCUCGCUGCUCAUCCCAGGUGCACCGGUUUCUGCCUCUGCCUUGUUCUCAGACAUUCGGAGUCAGUAUCCCAAGGCAAUGUUUUCCUCGCUUCUUUUUCCUCGUUACUUUUCCUUUAUAUGCAGGGCACCUCUCCUCACGUGUAGGUGCUCUGUUCACACUUCUGAGUGCUGUUAAAAUAGCAGUCCGGGUAGACAGAGAGGGGCACUUCUCUCAGUUUGGAAGCACUUUCUUCCUGGGGCUGGUUUGGAAAGCUCAGACCAUCCUGUAAGAAGUUCCUUUAUUGUUUACAAAACAUGUCUAGGAUUUUACUGCUUUCUUUCGACCAGGUAUAAUGUAGAAUGGUAUGUAGAUAAAAAUAGGGACACAUAAUAUAAAGGAUUUGUAACUUUUAAGGAGUAUGUAAUAACUCUUAGUUUUUGCCUGGAGAAUGCGUGUUCCUCCUUUGCGUAGAAUAAGACAUACCUUAAUCUAGUUCCUAUGGAGUGCACAUUAGCUCAGUUUAACGUUACCUCGAUGGGCUUUCUAAAUGUUUGAGUCUGUUAUCUCACACUGACUGGGCUUUGCCCAGGGAAAUACUGCUAGAAUCUGCCCUUCCUGUGCGGCCUGUCCUGGACACUUGGAAGGUUACCUGAAUGAAGCCCUCCAUCCAAGAAUUCAGUCUACUAGAGUGCACUCAGCUUACUGCUUAGCCUAGUUAUUUGCCAUUUUUCCUGAAUUACUCUUGUUUUCUUUUUUUGUGUCUUUUAGGUCAGUAUGUACCUCGUUUUGUAUAUUGUCUUGAAACUUUACUCCUUUGUAUGGUAAUUAAUGCAUAUUUGUUCACUUUUUAAAAGGUGGGAUUCACCUUAAAGAUUAAUUUCUAUGAUUCUCAGGUAGAAAAAUACAAAUUUUCAAAGCUAAUGUGCUUAAAUAUGUAACUUCAUUCCUUUCAUCCCAAUUGAAAACUAACAUUCUAAAUAGUGAGAAAAAACUUCUCAACAACCAAUCACUGCUAAUAAGUUCCAAUGACGACAUAUACCUAUAGAGUCAAACAUACACCCUUCAAUAGCUUUUGAAGUGGAAAGAUCAAAGACUUAGAUAUGGGUUUGAAUUAUGUCUCUGCUGGUUGUAUGACUUUGAGCUUUUCAUUCAUAGUUUGAAGACAUCAUUUUCCAGUUUUGGAGCCGACUAAUGAACUAGUUCUUAAGUGAAAGGCAUUUAACACGACUGUGCAUCUACAGGUACUAGGUUUCCAAGAUGCCUUUCCAGACUAAAACCCACACAUGUGAGCCGCUGGCCGGACAAACAUCUGGCACCUAACGUGGGGCUGAAAAACAGCAGAGGACAUUUGGAAGAAACACUGCUGGUUUGGAGCUCCAUAGAAGAAGAAAAUAAUUAAAGGAAAUUCAUACCAGAGAAGGUCAGUAUGGGCUAAGCUGAAACAGCGUUUAACCUGAGCGCUAAUUCGCUUAGGUUCAGCAGUGAGGCAUCUCAGGAGCUAGGAACGUAACAGGCGGUUAGCCAUAGCUCCCAGAAGCUACAUUUUUAGGCGUGAGAAAAGAAAGGGUUUAUUAAAAGGAAAUUAAUAAUAAGGCGGACUGCAUCAUGCGGGAGGAAAAUGUCCCAAAAAGCAGAGAGAAAUUUCCGGAGUGCCAUGCUUUGUUCUCUCUGGGCUUUACAGCAGAAAUACUCUGCCCCUUUUGUGUCUUGUCUAAUGUCUGGUGCACUGAAAGACCCACAACAUGAGGACUCCCCCACGUUCUGACUCAGGAGAGGCGACACCCCAAACCACUCACAAGAAACGGUCUUGCUGCAAACUGCAAGAGGAUUUUUAUUCAAGAGCGCUCUCAGGCCCACGGUCAUACACCACACAGGGGUAGAGGACUUUCGCGUCCUGAGUUGCUGGGAAAGGGGGUAUUUAAAGGAAGAAACCACAACUCAAGGAAGUGGGGAGGGCGUUGUUGGAAAAUACAAAGAUACCAGUUAAGAGUCCCAAGGAAGUGCAAACUCACAAGAGUCACAAGGAAUACCUGGAAAUUUUGCAGGUUAUCUCUCAAGACAGUUUCUAAGAGGCCCUAACAAUAGCACAUUUGCAUAGUGGGUUCCGCCAAUGGUCAGGGUGACUUUCUUUGAAUGAACACUCUUUGAACCCAGGAAGCAGGUGGGUAGAGGAAUGUCACUAUCUGUUUUAUGAUUAGCAUACCUUGGAGCAUUAAGUCACAGAGGUCACAUUCCCAAGCCUGGGCCUAAAGGCCUAGAAUUUUGUUUUUAUGUUAUACUUUCAGCACCAAUCUGUUCACAUGUUCAAUUCAUGUAUGUUUGUGUCCAGUCUGUAUGAAUGAAUGUUCUAUGUUUUAUGUUGGAUAAUAAAGAUGGCAAAAAAAAUAAAAAACUUUAUCUGCAAAGCCGAGAGCUGCCACGUGCUACAACCAGGAAACAGACACAUGGCAGGAGGGCCCCUGCUGAAAAAACUGUUAUAGGAAAAAAGGGCGAGUCUACAGCCUCUCAGUUUCGGGGUAAAAAAAGCUGAUGAAUGUUUUUUUCCUGGAGGGUUCUCUACAAUCGUGAUUAAUAUGUUUGGCAAAUGAUAAAGUGCUUUUUAUUCCAUGAUUGUAGCUAGAAAAAUUAAUAUUCUCUGAUUGGUCUAAAUGUAACUGCUUCAUUUGGUUUUUUUAUUGGUAAUGUGCUCUGCGUGUUUUCACUAUCAGCUCAUAAGUUAUGGGUUAAGAUUAAUAAUUGUUACAUUGCUACAGAUGGUUAGUCUUAAAAUUGAUAACUCAAGUUUAAUGUCUUUCCAACACAUGGCAUAAGGCAGGCCGAGAGGCUGGGUCUCUAAAGAUAUUUCUAGUUAAGAUAAUAAUUAAUGUGGUUCCUAUCCNNNNNNNNNNNNNNNNNNNNNNNNNNNNNNNNNNNNNNNNNNNNNNNNNNNNNNNNNNNNNNNNNNNNNNNNNNNNAAAAGAAACUUAAUAAUUCUUUACAGAUCUAGCCAGAUGCUGUUUUAAUGAAGUUCAAGUUCAUAGUUUGUAAAGAGUCAAUCAGACCGUAAAAUUUAUCAAGGCAUUACAGUCUGGUUUGCCUACCUUUUAUAUAGUUAUUUUAAAUCCGAAGGUUUGUUUCUUUUUCUCUCUCCUUUGCAUCUUAAUGAUUGUAAAGGUUUGGCCUCUAGUGAGUUUGUAAUAACCUAAAUAUUUUGCCUCUAAUAUGGCUAAAUAUUGAUCUACAUUAUGUAAAAAUUUUUUAUCAUUUCUGCUUCUAUACAAGAAGCCAAAAUUUUUUAAUCUUUCAAUGUAUAUUUUUUCCUAAGUGAAAAAUGUUUUAUUAACUAAUGCUUCUCAAGGGAAGUUUACUUUAAAUCUUUGCUCUCACCCAAAAGAUUCAGAGACAAUAUCCUUUUAUUACUUAGGGUUUUAGUUUACUACAAAAGGUUUUACAAAAAAUAAAGAAAGCUUUUAUAGUUGUUGUUAACUAUAUUCAUUGGCAAUUAAAUAUUAGCUGUGCCCAAGACAAUUCCUUGGCCAGAAAAAACAUUGUAAAGUCAUUUUUCUGAUCCUUCCAGCCGAUCCUUGGCCCAUGUGAGCCCAGCUAGCUGCUGGCUGCUGUGGGGCGGGGCCUUGAGACACACAGUUUCCCCCUGUUUCAGCACAAAUAAUCUAGUUGUGUGCUGUAGAUGGUGUUUUAAAAUACUGAACAAUCAAUCCUUAAUUUGUAUAUUGAUAGUCAAUGCUAUAUCUCAGAGCUCACAAUUGCUUAAGAUUGUCCGUCCCUCAGAUACUAUUAAUUCUCAAAUUUGCAAUUGCUUAUGCAUAUAUAACUCAUAGAAAAAAAUGCUGUCCUUUUAAGAAGACGGUUUUUAGACAUUUAUUAAAUUGUCCUAAUUGCCUGGACAUUUUAAAACAAUGCCAGGAUAAAUUUAUAUCUCAGACAGUCUAUAGAUCGUCCAUAUAAAAUAGAUUGGAUAUAUAACCUUGUUCUUUAUAUAUUCAUAACAGUUAUGGUUUAAGAUAAUGUUUUAGUAUUCUUAAAAAUUGUGCAUGUAUAAUUCUUUCUUUUUAGUGUCCUCAGUUAUUACUUGUUUCCACAUAAUAGUGUUAAUUCUUGAGGACUUUUACUUAAUAAUUUGCGACAAAUAAAUGCUCUUAUUUCUAGUU